rnacentral:lncRNA from 1 species
GGGGGGUUUCCUGGUCAGGGGGGAGCCAGCUUCUCCUCUCCUGCUCUUCCUGCUAGUGCUCUCACUCUCUCUCAAAUAAUCUUUAAAAAAUUAAAAAAAAAAAAACAAAACUGUAGCUCUGCCAUUUGCUAAUUCUGUGAGUUUGAACUGAACAAUUUUAUUGAAAAUGUUCAACUAUAAAAAUGUAAUAUAGGAUUUCUGAGAAGAUUAAGCAAGAUAAUACUGGUAAAAAUUGUAAUACAGAGUGCUUAGCUCAUGAUGGGCAUUUGCUUAGCAGUACCUAUUAACCUCUAAAGAGCUAUUCAAAUAAUGAUUUAAAAAGCUGGAAAUAGGAGGUAAUAUGAGCAACUAUUAUUUUAAUUUAGAUGUGUGAGAUGGCAGCUAGGAUAUUCAACAUUUGUUCAUGUCUGCUAUAUGCCAAGUAUACUUGCACAGUUUGCUAUGCAUAGUUUGAUAGUUUUUAACAUGAAAUCAGGUGCAUUAAAUUAUCACAACAACCCCAUGAAUUUAGUGCUACUAUACUCUCAUUUUUACGGAAGACGAAACUGGGACACUGAAAAGGCAAGAGACGAAACAAACUUGGAAUUCAGGCAGAGAGCUACAACAAAACCAGAGAGGAAAAGUAGCCAAUCAGAGUUUCACUGGAGGGACGUGGGGAAAGUCAAGGAAGAGUAAGAGAGAGGAUCCCAGGCAGGCUCCAUGCCCAGUACAGAGCCUGACGUGGGGCUCAAUCUCCAACCCCAAGACCAUGAACUGAACAGAAACCAAGUGUCGGAUAGUUAACCAACUGAGCCACCCAGGCGCAUUGCCCUGCCCCACCUGUGAGUAGAUUCGUAAUAUAGCUUUGGAAUCUUACUAUAUUUCCCUAUAACAUCCUCAAAUUUCCGUAUACAUCAGAAUGACCAGGGCCUGUUAAUAAAACGCAGUUGAAACUCUGGUAUCGGGAUCCC